UACAGGGGGUGCAACCGUUGCCCGGAAUCAUUGGGCGUAAAGCGCACGUAGGCGGUCUGUUAUGUCGGAUGUGAAAGCCCUUGGCUCAACUGAGGAAGUGCAUCCGAAACUGGCAGGCUAGAGUACUAAAGAGGAUCGCGGAAUUCCCGGUGUAGAGGUGAAAUUCGUAGACAUCGGGAGGAACACCGGUGGCGAAGGCGGCGAUCUGGGUAGAUACUGACGCUGAGGUGCGAAAGCGUGGGGAGCAAACAGG
rnacentral:rRNA from 1 species